GACGAACGCUGGCGGCGCGCCUAACACAUGCAAGUCGAACGAGCGAGAGAGAGCUUGCUUUCUCAAGCGAGUGGCGAACGGGUGAGUAACGCGUGAGGAACCUGCCUCAAAGAGGGGGACAACAGUUGGAAACGGCUGCUAAUACCGCAUAAGCCCACGGCUCGGCAUCGAGCAGAGGGAAAAGGAGCAAUCCGCUUUGAGAUGGCCUCGCGUCCGAUUAGCUAGUUGGUGAGGUAACGGCCCACCAAGGCGACGAUCGGUAGCCGGACUGAGAGGUUGAACGGCCACAUUGGGACUGAGACACGGCCCAGACUCCUACGGGAGGCAGCAGUGGGGAAUAUUGCACAAUGGGGGAAACCCUGAUGCAGCGACGCCGCGUGGAGGAAGAAGGUCUUCGGAUUGUAAACUCCUGUUGUUGAGGAAGAUAAUGACGGUACUCAACAAGGAAGUGACGGCUAACUACGUGCCAGCAGCCGCGGUAAAACGUAGGUCACAAGCGUUGUCCGGAAUUACUGGGUGUAAAGGGAGCGCAGGCGGGAAGACAAGUUGGAAGUGAAAUCCAUGGGCUCAACCCAUGAACUGCUUUCAAAACUGUUUUUCUUGAGUAGUGCAGAGGUAGGCGGAAUUCCCGGUGUAGCGGUGGAAUGCGUAGAUAUCGGGAGGAACACCAGUGGCGAAGGCGGCCUACUGGGCACCAACUGACGCUGAGGCUCGAAAGUGUGGGUAGCAAACAGGAUUAGAUACCCUGGUAGUCCACACUGUAAACGAUGAUUACUAGGUGUUGGAGGAUUGACCCCUUCAGUGCCGCAGUUAACACAAUAAGUAAUCCACCUGGGGAGUACGACCGCAAGGUUGAAACUCAAAGGAAUUGACGGGGGCCCGCACAAGCAGUGGAGUAUGUGGUUUAAUUCGACGCAACGCGAAGAACCUUACCAAGUCUUGACAUCCCUUGACGAUGCUGGAAACAGUAUUUCUCUUCGGAGCAAGGAGACAGGUGGUGCAUGGUUGUCGUCAGCUCGUGUCGUGAGAUGUUGGGUUAAGUCCCGCAACGAGCGCAACCCUUAUGGUCAGUUGCUACGCAAGAGGACUCUGGCCAGACUGCCGUUGACAAAACGGAGGAAGGUGGGGAUGACGUCAAAUCAUCAUGCCCUUUAUGACUUGGGCUACACACGUACUACAAUGGCGUUAAACAAAGAGAAGCAAGACCGCGAGGUGGAGCAAAACUCAGAAACAACGUCCCAGUUCGGACUGCAGGCUGCAACUCGCCUGCACGAAGUCGGAAUUGCUAGUAAUCGCAGAUCAGCAUGCUGCGGUGAAUACGUUCCCGGGCCUU
rnacentral:rRNA from 1 species